CAAUGGCUUCCUGUCAAACAUGCAGUAAACCCAGCUCCUUCACCACAAGAUCCCGCUGUUACCUCUCUAACCUCAUUUCCUUCUGCCCUCCAUCUCCUUCACUCCACCUGAGACACCUUGUCCUCCUUGUGGUUCUGAAACACAUCAGGCACCUGCCUGGCUCAGGGCGUCUGUGAGCUUGUGGUGAGAACCUGCAUAUUUACAUUCCCCGUGUGUCUCUAUACAAGACACUAACUACAAAGAGGACGUUGUAACUUGAUAGUGGAGACACCUGACAAACGCCACCUUAACCACGGGAUUAGUCACCACCGCUAAUGGGAUGUUCAGAUUCCUCCUGGUAAGUUGCACUGAGAAGGGCACAUCAUUUCUGGGAAUUCCUGUCAAAAAUAGCUUGAAUAUAGCCACCAGGAAACAGGCAGUAAUCCCUCACUGAGGGACAUUCUGCAAAAUAACUGCCCGUAAGCUUCAAACCUGACAACUGGAUUCAGCAGCGAGCCUGGACUGAGUCACUAGCCAGGAAAUUGUUUCCUUUUUGGUGCACAAGGACAUUAGUGUGACCACCACAAAAUCUGAUUAAGGUCUGAGGAGAACAUUGUUUCACUGUUAACUUCCUGACCUUGAUCACCGGAUUGUGGUGAAGACAAAGUUCUCAUUAUAGGAUAGAUAUGUAAAUGUGGAGGGGGGGGGAACAGAGUAAAUGUGAAACACUGUGGGGAAUCGCGUGAAGGGGAGACGAGAAUUACUUGUACUUUUUAAAAUAAAAUAAAAAAUAGAUUUAUGAAAAGUGGCAGACACAGUAGAGUUCCCAAGUACCCCGCACCCAAUUUCCCCUAUUAACGCCUUAUACAUCAUUGGUGUGGUAAUUUGUCACAAUUCAAUGAGCCAUAGAAAUGUUAUUCAAGUCCAUGCCUUAUAUUCAGAUUUCCCAUUUACCUAAUGUCCUUUCUCUGUUCCGGGACCUCAUUCAGGAUACAUUACACUUAGUCUCCUUGUCUCCUAAAGCUUUUCUUGGCUGUUCUCAGGCUUUUCUUGUUUUGAACCUCGACAGCGUUGAGAACUAGUGGCCAGGUCUUUUGUAAAACAUCCCUCAGCUGGGAUUUGCCCGGUGUUUUCUUUUAGACUGGGGCAUCUGUUCCAGAGAGGAAGGCCACAGAGACAGGGUACCAUUCUCACUGCAUAUCAGACUCACUGCCAACAUGACUCGUCACUGCUGAUGCUGACUCAUCACCGGCUGCUGUGGUCGUCAGUCUUUGCCCCUCCUCUACUGUCCUCUUUGGAAGGAAGCCACUUGGCAGCCACACCGAAGGAGGGGAUAUGCUUCCCUGAAGGCAGAGCAUCUACGGAAACUAUUGGACUUCUGUACAGGUCCUUAAUUCUGGACACGACUGGAUGCUGCAGGUUCAUCUUGUGUAUUUCCUGCUCUAAUCCUAGAAUCACUUUAGCACUAUUUUUUAAAGUUUCAAAGUUUUCUACGGGUCUGAAAUUAUUUCUAAUCAACGUCAAAAAUACGCGAAUCACACUUUUUUGGAAAGCUAUCUGACACAUAUCAAAAUGCAGCGACCCUGGAAUGUAGGCCACAGAAAUACAAGCACAAGCACAGUGAGAGUGGACUGUUAUGGUUACUUCAGUGCUGCGGGUAGCAGCAAAAAGCAAACAAAACCUGGAAACAAGUAAAUCCUCGUCCACAGGGGUGGCAGCAUCAGCUGAGGUGUGUCCACCCUGAAGAACCUUGUGAAGCAACUGGGAAGCAUCACAGCAAUGUCCACCAGGAGUUCCUCCAAAUGAAGGGACUAAAAAAGACCUCAUUUUCACCGGUGACCCCACACAGCCUCUGAAUGCACACACGGUGGUGGGAGUGCGGGUUCCAUGUGGCAGCACACAGCCCAGGGGCGUGGCCUGGUUACCUGGGAGGAGAGGUGUACAGAAGAGGAGGAGCCAGCCCUUCGCGAUGCCACGCCCAUCUGUGCAGGAGGUAAUGUGAGACCCACAGUCAGGGCCGCAGGUCUGGGAUCGGGUGACUCACUUCCUUCUGCACACUUUGGUUUUGUUGCAUUUUUCUUUAUAUACACACACAAAACUUGUGACAUUUUCUACAUGCACAUGACAAAAAACAGAUGACUCAAAAUUUAAUUUUUCUAAUUGUUAAAAUUUUAUUAAAAUUCUUUCACCUAAAAUUCCCAGUUUGGGAGAAGUCCUACAGGAAUAAGAACAUCUAAGGACAUUAAGUUCAACGGAGGAAGCAGCCGAUUAACCUACAGGAGUCCGUCCAGGGACUGUGACAGGUCCCCAGGGACAGACCACACGGAGAGCUGAGUGAGUUCCUGAAAGGACUCUCUAGCACCGGCCCCUCAGACUGUGACUAGAGGGGAGAAGAAAAGGCUUUUCUUCAUAAGCCUGUUUAUCUGAUUACCACCAAGGCAUACUUUUAUGAUUUAAAAAAUGUCCAUAACAAAUAAGGAAAAAAUCCAAAAAAUUCCUCGAGUCUUGGUCGCAGGUAACAGACUUCCUGGACUCAACUUUUCUGCUACCCUCACUUAAGAUCUCAAAAACUCCCUGUGUGGGAAGCCCUAAUAGCUUCUGGCAAAAUCGGAUUGAAGUUCGCCUGUGCGCAGCAUGGCAGCCCUGGCCCCAAGGUCUGGGAAGAGUGACUCAAGCAUGGGAACCAGCUGUCAGAGGACUCCCAGACGGAGGGGCUGUGACCCAAUCUGAGGUGCUCCCAGCUGACAGCCACCACAAAUCCCGUUAUACCAAGGAAUCUGUGGGGGAACGAGGGGCCUCGAGGCUCCCCAGUUUAGCAUCAAUGGAGGCUGGGGGAUGCAGAUGCACGGACAAUGCCUGCUCUAGGGCUCAAGCACUUCGGGAAGUGAACAUGCUCCCCCUCACACUCCUGACAGGGCUCAGUGACCCCUCACGCAUCCUCCUUGUUCAGAGCCACCUGGCCCUCCCCCCCUUUCUGCCUAAGCAGUUUCCGAGCGCCUGGGAUGACCUCUGUCCACCACCCCCCACCACAGGCCCCGUUUCCUAAACUCAACAGCUUCCCUCCCAGCAGUCCCCUCCCUCUCCAGCCUGAGCUUGACACCACCUCCCCCCAGGACGCCUUCUCUGCCUGCACAACUUAAAAGGGCCCUACCUAACAGCAAUGGGAGCAGGAGGCAGCUGGCACUUGGGGCCACUCCAUAAGCAAGGAAAGGCCCAGGGUGGUGGGCCCGGUCUGAAAGAGUCUUUAUUGCUUGUACCGUACAAAUAUGAGGAACAGGGAAAGGCCAGUGGGGAAGAGGGAGAACUGUCAGAUAAAUGACAUACACACACAAAAAGAAGAGACCUCCCACCCCCCAAACCAGCCCCACCCACCCCAGAUGUCUCUCGGUGAACUACCUAGUACAGGAGGUGGGAAGAUCAAAACCACAAAAGUUACAUUCCAAACACCCGGAGAUGUUGGUGGGGAAGGGGGAGAGACAGGGCAGCAAGUGGACCUCGCGUGUGGCUCUCACACUAGGCCAGCCACCCUUCCCCUGGGAAGAAAUGCUGGGGUCAGGGCCAGGGGCCCGAGUCCACACACAUACGCACACACACCACACACUUGAGGCCGGGACACGCUUGCUCUCACACAUACAUACCCAGCACACAUGCACACACACACACCCCAUGUGCACUGUCUCAGAUGCACAAGGACACCAACAGCACACAAUCCAAGGCACGCACGCACACGAGUGCCCAUAGCACUGACACGUUCACCUUAAGGCUGCAGAACGUGGGGCUGGGGGAGGGGGGUGGCCUGGAGCCUCCUUCUCAGAGGCCCCCACCCCAGUACGUACCAGAGACACCCAUCCCUGCCCCCUCCUCAACCAAGUUCAUGGGGCCCAAUACUGUCUCGGUGCGAGAUGUGUAACAGCCGAGGCUGGCACCCCUCCACCCCAGGCAGAGAGAAGGGGCAAUCCUGGCCCCCAUUCUGGGAGGGGCCAGGCCCAGGUCCAGCAGGAGGUAAGGCUGGCUGGAAGGAAGCCCUGGUAAGGCACGGGGCUUGGGGUGGGAAGGCUAGGCCCCACAUGUUCCUCCUACUUCGUCCACAGGGUCAGGAGAGCAGCGUGGGGCGCAGGGAGGCAGCGUCCAUCCCCUUGGCCGCUCUGGGUUCCCCUCCAGGUAAUCGACCCCAGCCCGAGGGAGCCCUGGACCUCUGCUCCUGCAGCUCCCAAAGGCCCCCACCUGGGCCUGGACAUUACUGCUUUUCUGCUGCUGGGUGGGGAGGGGGCUGGGCUGUCCCCUCACCAGGCCACUCGGAGCCUAAUGACAGGCAUGGAAGGCAGCCCAGAGCGCUGUCCGCACCUCUGAGGGCAGCACAGCACAGAGCAGGCAGCCGUGGGCGCCCAGCCAAUAUUCAGGCAGCCCCCCCCCCCCCCCCCCCCGGCUUUCGCUCCUCACUGGGGCUUGUGUUGAUCAAAACCCAAGAUCUUCCCAACUGCCCAAAGGCCAGGUCCUGGGGCAGCGGCAGAGUCUCCCCAGUCCUGAUCUGGGCGCAAAAGUGAGGGCAGGACAGGAUCCUGGAGGCAGGGCCACUGGGUCCACUGAGAGGAGGCUGGCAGAGGGCU